rnacentral:rRNA from 1 species
CCAAUAGCGUAUAUUAAAGUUGUUGCAGUUAAAAAGCUCGUAGUUGAAUUUCGGGAUCAAUUUAUUGGUCGUACCUUUUGGUACGUACUGAUUUUAUUGGUUUCUCCCUUCUGACGAACCAUGAUGUCAUUAAUUUGAUGUCUUGGGGAAUCAGGACUGUUACUUUGAAAAAAUUAGAGUGUUUAAAGCAGGCUCACGCUUGAAUACAUUAGCAUGGAAUAAUGAAAUAGGACGUUUAAUUCUAUUUUGUUGGUUUCUAGGAUUGACGUAAUGAUUAAUAGGGAUAGUUGGGGGCAUUAGUAUUCAAUUGUCAGAGGUGAAAUUCUUGGAUUUAUUGAAGACUAACUACUGCGAAAGCAUUUGCCAAGGAUGUUUUCAUUAAUCAAGAACGAAAGUUAGAGGAUCGAAGACGAUCAGAUACCAUCGUAGUCUUAACCAUAAACUAUGCCGACUAGGGAUCGGAUGAUGUUGAUUUUAAUGACUCAUUCGGCGCCUUACGGGAAA